UGCAUGCCCCCUUCAUGUUAUGGUCAGUCAACAAGUGCACGCACUUGAUCUUCAUUCUUAAUAACAACACAAUAAUGAAUCGUGAAUGUGCAAAAAAACUUACCUCAUAACAACUUACGCCGUAAUUAUGCUGGAGCUUUUCGGAUUGUGUUACACGAAUUUUUUUGGAAAUACACAUUUUUGUGAGGAGUGCCAUUCUUGAUGUAUUCGAAUUUCAAUUCUGUGACAACAUGGCACUUCGAGUCACCUUUCGAAAAACUUUGAGGAUAUUUUCCACUGUUUGUCUGCUGUUAACGCUGAAAAUGGUACGUCCGUGCAUGCCAGCAGAAGAGAAUCACCAUUCAAGACAAAAACGUAUAUUAUGGAUCACCAGCGAUGGUCGUCUCGCGUUACCUCCAGGGACUAGUCUAGUCAUUUCGCCAUCUUUAUCUCUACCAUUCAUUCGUUAUCCACCUGAUGGUUUCUUGUCGAAUUUAUCAGUUAGCUUACCUUUUACCAUUGACUUCGAUAAAUUAGGCUUGACAGAUAACGAAAACCCUUACGGAAUAUUGCCGGAUAUAUUAGCAAGAUCAAUGGGUAGGGCGGCUGGAGGAAUCGUGGCCGACUACAUUGGUGCGUUUAUCACGCGUAGAAGGAACAAACGAUUUGCAAACGAAAAAAACCCGGAUCUACCUGCAGGGCUUAAGGAUGCUUUCCACGGUGGUGAAAGAGCGCUCCUGUACGCGGUUAUCGAAGAUUUUUUAGAUAAUUUUGGGUUGAACGGUAAGGCAUGCCUUCUUCGUGCGAUAUGCGAAGUGCAGGCCCAUCCGUUACGUAACUUUGGGCUGAUUGGAGAAGGCCUCAGACUUUUCUUAAGCGCUAGCAAGUCUCCCUUCGCCAGUCUUCUAAACGAAUAUGUAGAAGCCGAGAAUGCCGGUAAAGGCAAAUCUGGUGCAUCCGAGUGUUGGCCUUACAUGAAGGACUGUUCAAAAUCCCUAUUUCAAGCGCGACACAACCCCUACAGUAAACUAGAAGACAGUCAUCCAAACGAGGAGUAUGGAAACGACGUUGAGGAAAUAGACGGUAAAAUUGUUUAUAACUCGGCUGUAAAGAAUAUGUGAGAAGUGUAGACAUUUAUUGAUAUUGGGGCAUCAAAGUAUCUGGGACGUUCCACAGUUAUUAUUUAUAAUAAAUUAAUUUAUGUGUAUAGUUAGGUAAUUGUUAAGUUUGAACGUAGUCAUUAUUUAUUAUUUAUUUAUGUUACUUUGUACAUGUUAUAUAGAGCUGUGAUUGAAUAAACGUUAGUUUUGUGUAGAAAAGUAGAAUAAUAUAUUUUUAGUUAGAAAUUAGGUAAAUGAAUUACGUAGGUACCUACGUUGUUUGCGAUAAUUUAAUUGAUCAAAAAGGAGUUCCACUAACAACUUACAAUGAUGCACACAAUUUUGAGAGGUGACAGUCAGGCAAUUUUUAAAGGAAGAGAGUGGUCUGCGCCAUCUCGAGAGCACCAA